rnacentral:misc_RNA from 1 species
UUGCAAAACUCCCAAACCAUUGUGAACUUACCUCAACGUUGCUUCGGCGGGUUGGCUCCGGGUCUCCCGGGGCCCCCGGCCCUCACGGGCGCCCGCCGGAGGUACUAACUCUUGAAAUAUGGCCUCUCUGAGUGAUUUUAAAUAAGUCAAAACUUUCAACAACGGAUCUCUUGGUUCUGGCAUCGAUGAAGAACGCAGCGAAAUGCGAUAAGUAAUGUGAAUUGCAGAAUUCAGUGAAUCAUCGAAUCUUUGAACGCACAUUGCGCCCGCCAGUAUUCUGGCGGGCAUGCCUGUUCGAGCGUCAUUUCAACCAUCAAGCCCCCGGCUUGUGUUGGGGACCUGCGGCUGCCGCAGGCCCUGAAAACCAGUGGCGGGCUCGCUAGUCACUCCGAGCGUAGUAAUACAUCUCGCUCAGGGCGUGCUGCGGGUUCCGGCCGUUAAAAGCCUUAUUUACCCAAGGUUGACCUCGGAUCAGGUAGGAAGACCCGCUGAACUUAAGCAUAUCAAACGGAGGAA